GAAGGUAUAGCUCAAGUGGUAGGGCACAUGCUUAGCAUGCACAAGGUCCUGGGUUCAAUCCCCAAGUACCUCUU
rnacentral:tRNA from 1 species